rnacentral:rRNA from 1 species
CCGGGGAGCCGCACACAGGCGCUUGGACCCGGGAAUUUCCUAAUGGGGUAACCCGAUCGGGGGAAUGCCUGAUCACUCCGGCCUGAAUUCAUAGGGCCGGCAGAGCGACACCCGCUGAAGUGAAACAUCUCAGUAAGCGGAGGAAGAGAAAACGAGCGUGAUUCCGUAAGUAGUGGCGAGCGAAAACGGAAAAGCCCAAACCGGGGAGCUUGCUCCCCGGGGUUGUAGGGCCACAAUGUGGGACUUUAACGGUUAGGAGAAGCGGAUGGAAAGCCGCUCCCAAGAGGGUGAGAGACCCGUAUCCGAAAACCGAAAGAGCCCUAGUGGUACCCUGAGUAACGCGAUGCACGUGAAACUUCGCGUGAACCCGUCCCGACCACGGGAUAAGGCUAAAUACAAUCUGGUGACCGAUAGUGGACAAGUACCGCGAGGGAAAGGUGAAAAGAACCGCUGUGAGCGGAGUGAAACAGAACCUGCAACCGUGUGCCGACAAGGUGUCAGAGCCCCGCAAGGGGUGAUGGCGUGCCUUUUGCUUAAUGAGUCUGCGAGUUAUUGUCUGUGGCGUGCCGAAGGGCUUCUGGUCCAGAGGCGGAGCGAAAGCGAGUCCGAAAUGGGCGAACAUAGUCGCAGGCAGUAGACCCGAAGCGGAGGUGAUCUACCCAUGGCCAGGAUGAAGUCCCAGUAAAAUGGGAUGGAGGUCCGAACUGGUGAGCGUUGAAAAGCUCUCGGAUGAACUGUGGGUAGGAGCGAAAGACUAAUCAAACCCCGUGAUAGCUGGUUCUCCCCGAAAUAGCUUGAGGGCUAGCCUGGCGUGCUGACCCAUGGAGGUAGAGCACUGGAUGGACGAGGGCCCAUACCCGGGUACCGAAUCCAAUCAAACUCCGAAUGCCAUGGGGCGCAGCGCCGGAGUCAGACGGCGGGGGAUAAGCUUCGUCGUCGAGAGGGAAACAGCCCAGACCGUCAGCUAAGGUGCCUAACGACCGCUCAGUGGAAAGGAUGUGGGAUUUCUUAGACAGUGAGGAUGUUGGCUUAGAGGCAGCCAUCAUUUAAACAAAGCGUAACAGCUGACUCAUCGAGAGAUCCCGCGCCGAAAAUGAUUGGCGAUCAAGCGGUCGACCGAAGCUACGGAUGAAAUACCGGUUCGCCGGAAUUUCGUGGUAGGGGAGCGUUCUGUACGCAUCGAAGCGGAAGGGAAACUGACCGUGGAGUGUACGGAAGUGAGAAUGCAGACAUGAGUAGCGAUCAUCCCGGUGAAAUUCCGGGACGCCGUAAACCCAAGGUUUCCUGGGGAAGGUUCGUCCUCCCAGGGUUAGUCGGGUCCUAAGUCGAGGCCGCACGGCGUAGACGAUGG